CGAGUUUUUAGUUAAUUGCUAGACAACUUCUUUAUAUUAUGAUAAUUUUAAAUAGUUAUCAAUAUAUUUUUAUAUUAAAAUUAUCACAACUUCUUUAUAUUGUGGUAAAUUUUAAUAGUAUAUUUUUAAUAGUUUAAUGUUAACUAUUAAAAAUAACUGUUAGGAAGAUCAUGAUGGCUUAAGGAUAUUUUUUUAAAAAAAAAUACCGCAAUUCCUAUCCCGUGGGAAAGUGGUUUUUUAUGUCCCGCAUGGGUUUUUCUUUUCGAUGAAAUGUAGAAAACUUAUUUCGAUGGGAAAGCUAUUUUUCCACCUCUCCUUUGUAAACUCCAACCAAACAUAAAGUGUUUUUUCAUUUUUUUCGUUGACCACACUUUCCCUUCUUCUCUUCCCGCAAACCAAACGAGUGUUCAGAGGACCUAAAAGAGAAGGAGAAGAUCCAAGGACAAAAAGUUGUGAAAAGGAAUAUAACAAAGCUUGAAAUAACACUAGAGAUGUCCUCGACAACGUUCACCACCUCGGUACCGUACCCUAUAGCGGUGCCUCACUAACAUAAUGUCGGAAUGGUACGAUACGAAGUUUUUUUAGCAUACCGAGUAUUAGUAUGCCACCCGUACGGCUAGGGCUGGAAGUGGGCUCGGGCCGGCCCGAAGCCCAUCGGGUCGGGCUGCAUGCGGGCCGGGCUAUGGGCUAGACCCAAUGAAUUUCGGGCCGGG
rnacentral:lncRNA from 1 species